CUGAAGAGAGGAGCUUGCUCUUCUUGGAUGAGUUGCGAACGGGUGAGUAACGCGUAGGUAACCUGCCUUGUAGCGGGGGAUAACUAUUGGAAACGAUAGCUAAUACCGCAUAACAAUGGAUGACCCAUGUCAUUUAUUUGAAAGGGGCAAAUGCUCCACUACAAGAUGGACCUGCGUUGUAUUAGCUAGUAGGUGAGGUAACGGCUCACCUAGGCGACGAUACAUAGCCGACCUGAGAGGGUGAUCGGCCACACUGGGACUGAGACACGGCCCAGACUCCUACGGGAGGCAGCAGUAGGGAAUCUUCGGCAAUGGGGGCAACCCUGACCGAGCAACGCCGCGUGAGUGAAGAAGGUUUUCGGAUCGUAAAGCUCUGUUGUAAGUCAAGAACGAGUGUGAGAGUGGAAAGUUCACACUGUGACGGUAGCUUACCAGAAAGGGACGGCUAACUACGUGCCAGCAGCCGCGGUAAUACGUAGGUCCCGAGCGUUGUCCGGAUUUAUUGGGCGUAAAGCGAGCGCAGGCGGUUUGAUAAGUCUGAAGUUAAAGGCUGUGGCUCAACCAUAGUUCGCUUUGGAAACUGUCAAACUUGAGUGCAGAAGGGGAGAGUGGAAUUCCAUGUGUAGCGGUGAAAUGCGUAGAUAUAUGGAGGAACACCGGUGGCGAAAGCGGCUCUCUGGUCUGUAACUGACGCUGAGGCUCGAAAGCG
rnacentral:rRNA from 1 species